rnacentral:lncRNA from 1 species
GGCGGGAGUGCUUAGCUGAGCAGGCCCUCCACAGGGGUGAGUUCCUUUUCCGGAGUUCCACGUCAGAAAGAGACGCCUGUGGACAGCGCUGACAUGAUUCGUGUUGCCCAGGAUGGACUCAGGCAGUAUAUAUCCAGCCUGAUAAAGCUGGCUGUGAGUUUCCUCCGGCCCCUGGGAAGUGGCAUCUGAGGAGGGACGUGCUGUCGCAUGAGCGUGGACAAUAUAAUCUCCCCCAGACUGUGAACCACAGGAUGCCUGGGGAGCAGCCUGUACCGGCUGAGAAGCACACCGCUGGACACAGUGAUGGGCAGAACUGGAACAGAUCCUGCCGUCUUGGAGGAUACAGUGUGUUGGGUUUGUGGAGCAUUUUGUUUGUGGAGCCUACCUAUGGCCGUGUGGUAGGUAGAAGCAGAGGUGGCCCUCUCUCAGGGCUAGUCAUCGGCUCUCGCACCCUCCUCCCCACUUCCUCACGUCCCACUCGGCUCUCGCGCCCUCCUCCCCACCUCCUCACAUCCCUCUGUGGGCUGCCGGGGCAGCAGGUCCGUCUUUCCCCUCUGAGUUGGCUCCAGGGGGUGACCUGA